rnacentral:rRNA from 1 species
CUGAACGCCUCUAAGCCAGAAUCCGUGCUAGGCAAGAGUAACGACAAAGGCUUGUCCAUGCUGGCAAGUCUUGGCCCAGUUAAUAGUUUAACUUUCGUCACUAAAGACCAUAACACAUAUGCAUGGAGGAACGUGCACUAGUCCCUCGGGGCUCUGAGUUCUUACUCCAUGGACAAUAUCAUCAGUGUAACAUACGACCAGGUGAGACGACUCUUGUCUCGCACCUUGGUUGGUUGCCAAUCAUAAUGAGAAAUAUUGCUGGGAAUUAAAUCAUUUGUAGACGACUUAAAUGGGCGGGCUAUUGUAAGG